rnacentral:rRNA from 1 species
UACGUAGGGUGCGAGCGUUGUCCGGAUUCAUUGGGCGUAAAGAGCUCGUAGGCGGCUGUUCAAGUCGAACGUGAAAACUCGGAGCUCAACUCCGAGCCUGCGUUCGAUACUGUACGGCUAGAGUCUGGUAGGGGGAUCUGGAAUUCCUGGUGUAGCGGUGGAAUGCGCAGAUAUCAGGAGGAACACCGGUGGCGAAGGCGGGAUCCUGGGCCAGUACUGACGCUGAGGAGCGAAAGCGUGGGGAGCAAACAGG